CCUACGGGGGGCAGCAGUGGGGAAUAUUGCACAAUGGGCGAAACCCUGAUGCAGCAACGCCGCGUGAGUGAAGAAGUAUUUCGGUAUGUAAAGCUCUAUCAGCAGGGAAGAAAAAAGACGGUACCUGACCAAGCAGCCCCGGCUAACUACGUGCCAGCAGCCGCGGUAAUACGUAGGGGGCAAGCGGUAUCCGGAUUUACUGGGUGUAAAGGGAGGGGAGACGGUUGUGCAAGUCUGAGGUGAAAGCCCGUGGCUCAACCGCGGAACUGCUUUUGAAACUGUAUAGCUUGAGUACUGGAGAGGCAGGCGGAAUGCGCAGUGUAGCGGUGAAAUGCGUAGAUAUUGGGAGGAACACCAGUGGCGAAGGCGGCCUGCUGGACAGAAACUGACGUUGAGGCACGAAAGCGUGGGGAGCAAACAGGAUUAGAUACCCGGGUAGUC
rnacentral:rRNA from 1 species